rnacentral:rRNA from 1 species
UACGAAGGGGGCUAGCGUUGCUCGGAUUUACUGGGCGUAAAGGGCGCGUAGGCGGACAGUUAAGUUGGGGGUGAAAGCCCGGGGCUCAACCUCGGAAUUGCCUUCAAUACUGGCUGUCUUGAGUGUGAGAGAGGUGUGUGGAACUCCGAGUGUAGAGGUGAAAUUCGUAGAUAUUCGGAAGAACACCAGUGGCGAAGGCGACACACUGGCUCACUACUGACGCUGAGGUGCGAGAGCGUGGGGAGCGAACCGG